GGCUUUAUAGUGUAAAUAACAUUAAGGAUUGCAAAUCCUUAGAUGCGGUCAACAGUCGCUAAAGCUU
rnacentral:tRNA from 1 species